rnacentral:rRNA from 1 species
AGUGGCGAACGGGUGAGUAAUACAUCGGAACGUGCCCAGUCGUGGGGGAUAACUACUCGAAAGAGUAGCUAAUACCGCAUACGAUCUGAGGAUGAAAGCGGGGGACCUUCGGGCCUCGCGCGAUUGGAGCGGCCGAUGGCAGAUUAGGUAGUUGGUGGGAUAAAAGCUUACCAAGCCGACGAUCUGUAGCUGGUCUGAGAGGACGACCAGCCACACUGGGACUGAGACGCGGCCCAGACUCCUACGGGAGGCAGCAGUGGGGAAUUUUGGACAAUGGGCGAAAGCCUGAUCCAGCAAUGCCGCGUGCAGGAUGAAGGCCUUCGGGUUGUAAACUGCUUUUGUACGGAACGAAAAAGCUCCUUCUAAUACAGGGGGCCCAUGACGGUACCGUAAGAAUAAGCACCGGCUAACUACGUGCCAGCAGCCGCGGUAAUACGUAGGGUGCGAGCGUUAAUCGGAAUUACUGGGCGUAAAGCGUGCGCAGGCGGUUAUGUAAGACAGAUGUGAAAUCCCCGGGCUCAACCUGGGAACUGCAUUUGUGACUGCAUGGCUAGAGUACGGUAGAGGGGGAUGGAAUUCCGCGUGUAGCAGUGAAAUGCGUAGAUAUGCGGAGGAACACCGAUGGCGAAGGCAAUCCCCUGGACCUGUACUGACGCUCAUGCACGAAAGCGUGGGGAGCAAACAGGAUUAGAUACCCUGGUAGUCCACGCC